CGCGUAGGCGGACAUUUAAGUCAGGGGUGAAAUCCCGGGGCUCAACCCCGGAACUGCCCUUGAUACUGGGUGUCUUGAGACCGGAAGAGGCAAGUGGAACUGCGAGUGUAGAGGUGAAAUUCGUAGAUAUUCGCAAGAACACCAGUGGCGAAGGCGGCUUGCCGGUCCGGAUCUGACGCUGAGGCGCGAAAGCGUGGGGAGCAAACA
rnacentral:rRNA from 1 species